CACCCCUGACAAUGGGCAAAGAGACAUCUUGUUGGUAGUGUUGUUCUUAUGUCAGUCAGGGGCACAGCAGGUGGCAGUCUUUCGUUCACCCUAGAGUGAUGCCUGGCUUGGUGGCCGCAGCUGUUUUAUGCUUAGGACACAUCA